rnacentral:rRNA from 1 species
UGCGUAGGUGGUUUCUUAAGUCAGGAGUGAAAGGCUACGGCUCAACCGUAGUAAGCUCUUGAAACUGGGAAACUUGAGUGCAGGAGAGGAAAGUGGAAUUCCUAGUGUAGCGGUGAAAUGCGUAGAUAUUAGGAGGAGCACCAGUAGCGAAGGCGGCUUUCUGGACUGUAACUGACACUGAGGCACGAAAGCGUGGGGAGCAAACA